UACGGAGGGGGCUAGCGUUGUUCGGAAUUACUGGGCGUAAAGCGCGCGUAGGCGGCUUUGUAAGUUAGAGGUGAAAGCCCGGAGCUCAACUCCGGAAUUGCCUUUAAGACUGCAUCGCUAGAAUCAUGGAGAGGUGAGUGGAAUUCCGAGUGUAGAGGUGAAAUUCGUAGAUAUUCGCAAGAACACCAGUGGCGAAGGCGGCUCACUGGCCCGAUACUGACGCUGAGGCACGAAAGCGUGGGGAGCAAACAGG
rnacentral:rRNA from 1 species